rnacentral:tRNA from 3 species
GGCGCGGUGCUGGAAUUGGUAGACAGUCAGGUCUCAAAAACCUGUGAGGAUAACACCUCGUGUGGGUUCGAGUCCCUCCCGCGCCA